UCCUACCGACAGUCCGGCCUAAAAAGCCGGGU
rnacentral:rRNA from 1 species